rnacentral:lncRNA from 1 species
GGAGAAGAGCUUGACAGAUUUGAUAGGCAAGAGAAGGGCAGAGUGCAGUGAGCAAGGGGGAAGUGGAAAUGGAAUGAAUUUGGAGAGGGAAACAGGAGAGAACUUUGUAAGACAUUGUGGGCCGUGGUGAGCUUCCCUUUUCUGUCAUGCGCUAAGAGAGAAUUUAAUGAGUCAACAUACUCACUUUCAACUUUUAUGCAUUGGAAACAGGACCAGCGGAGACCAUUUCUACGUCCAUUUGGAGUGUUGGGACUGAAUGGGGAUGCAUAAUAGGACUGCACUUUGAGAACCGCUGCUCUGGGAGAUGGAGGCUGAGUCAAUGAUUCCUGACUUGGGGACCAGAGAUGGGCAGAU